UUCCUGCAUCAGAACAUUUCCAGACCAGUGGAGGAGUGUGGUUCGUGCUGGAAGCUGCUGUUCUCUGUCUGUCCUGCUGUUUCUCUGCUCUCAGCUCUCUUCUCCUCACUGUUGGUCUACCUGCUUUGCCUGAAGAAAGCAAACAAUGAAGCUGAAAAUAAGAGAUGUGACAUUUCAAGGCAAACAGAAGGAGCUCAGGAUGAAAAUGUUUGUUACGCUGCCCUGGAAAUCCAUCCGCCAUCACAGAGGACAAAGAGGAAGAGGACGAUCCAAAGUUCAGAUUUCAGUACAUACUCUGCCAUCAAGACAUGAGGAGAUUCAUAUUUAACACAGAAAUUAAACAGUAAUAAAGGAGUCCUUAGAGUUUUAUUUCCUUUUAUUAACUUCCCUCCAAACUAAAGAAAAAAAUGUUUAAACCCUCAUCGUAACUCUUCUUUUCAGACAGCUUUGUCUUGGUGGUAUUUACAUCUCUGUUCAUCAGUGAAGCUCUUUUCAGUCCAGCACUGACCUUUGCAGGCAGAGCUGCUGUUGCUGCUUGUUUUAA